UACAGAGGGGGCAAGCGUUGUUCGGAAUUACUGGGCGUAAAGGGCGCGUAGGCGGCCUUCUAAGUCGAACGUGAAAUCCCCGGGCUCAACCCGGGAACUGCGUCCGAUACUGGAAGGCUUGAAUCCGGGAGAGGGAUGCGGAAUUCCAGGUGUAGCGGUGAAAUGCGUAGAUAUCUGGAGGAACACCGGUGGCGAAGGCGGCAUCCUGGACCGGGAACUGACGCUGAGGCGCGAAAAGCGUGGGGGAGCAAACGGG
rnacentral:rRNA from 1 species